rnacentral:lncRNA from 1 species
ACCAAGAAUCCAAGAAUAUCUCUUCAAGUUCAGUGUAGUAAUACACACAAUGAUAUUAAUGGCAAUGAAUGAGAAGUCAGAAGCUGCUCGUCAACUUUUGUAAGCCAACAAUCAACCUGCUGGCUCAAGCAUUCCAUCUUUUCCCACAAUUCCAGGAAUCCCAAAUAUCCCAAGUUUUCCAAGAGUACAGGGAAUGCCACCAAUUCCAAGUAUUCCAAUUACAAUUCCUGCAGGGAUACCAAGAUUUGCAAUGCCACCAAUGCCUUCUUCAUUCCCUUGCUUCCCAAGAAUAUUCCCUUCUAUCUCAUCCAUUCCAAUCUUCGCCGCACCACCUCCUAAGAAUUACUUCCGGAUUUGCUUGGAUUGAUGUUACAUGUCGUUUCAUAAUGUAUUGUAUUGUAUUGUAUUGUAUUGUUGGAUGAAUAUAACGUCUGGAUAGAUUGUAUUGUUUGUCGUCAUUUCACGAUGUCAUGCACCAAUAAUAUGAAGUAUAAACUUGUAACAAUACUUAAAAAAAAAUAGGAUACAUAGUAGAAUUAUUAUAUAAAAAUAUAGGAUAAAGGAUACAAUAUAAUUAUUUAAUAAUAUGGAAGGGCAAGAUGAGAGGAAAAAAUAAGGAAACGACGCCACCAUAAUAUUUGGCAUAAUUCUCUAUAUUUUGAUAGUAGUUUAAUCUCAUUCUCAAGUGUUCUUGAAUAAUUUAUUGGUUAAAACUCGCCAAAAAUGUACCUAAUUGUCGUUCUUUAGUUGAUAGAGAGUUGAAAGAAGAAUUGAAGGCAUUUUUGAAGUUUUGGGAUGAAAAGCUGCUCAAAUAGAAGAAAAGGACCAAGUACAAAAAUAAUGCAUUUUCCCUCAAUGUGCGCUCAUCCGGACAAGGUCAAAGGUAGAGCCCACGGUGCGCGCGAGCAGAAAUUUCUGGGCGAAAAUCGUAAGGAUACUUUUGUCUUUGGAGCAAAUUUUACAUGAUAUAAAAACUUCUUCUCGCCUCCCUAGCCACUAUCACUCGACCUGGAAAGACGAGAACAUUACUUUCGAAGCAAGGAAGGGCUCGGAAGAGUCCAAAAACUAUCAUGAUCGAAGAUUUGAAGAGUUUCUCUCAACUUUUCUUAUUUUCGUUUAUUAUAGAUAUUGUUUUGAGAAUAAUUAUUAUAUUUUUUAGUAUAAACAUGAGUAGCUAAAUUCCCUAUUUAGGGUAUUGAUGAACCCGUUGUUAGAUGAUUUUGAG